rnacentral:rRNA from 1 species
GACGAACGCUGGCGGCGUGCCUAAUACAUGCAAGUUGAGCGCUGAAGGUUGGUACUUGUACCGACUGGAUGAGCAGCGAACGGGUGAGUAACGCGUGGGGAAUCUGCCUUUGAGCGGGGGACAACAUUUGGAAACGAAUGCUAAUACCGCAUAAAAACUUUAAACACAAGUUUUAAGUUUGAAAGAUGCCAUUGCAUCACUCAAAGAUGAUCCCGCGUUGUAUUAGCUAGUUGGUGAGGUAAAGGCUCACCAAGGCGAUGAUACAUAGCCGACCUGAGAGGGUGAGCGGCCACAUUGGGACGGAGACACGGCCCAAAGGCAUACGGGAGGCAGCAGUAGGGAUUCUUCGGCAAUGGACGAAAGUCUGAACGAGCAACGCCGAAGGAGGGAAGAGGGGUGUCGGAUCGGAAAACACGGUUGGCAGAGAAGAACGUUGGUGAGAGUGGAAAGCUCAUCAAGUGACGGUAACUACUCAGAAAGGGACGGCUAACUACGUG